AGACCCGAAACCCGGUGAUCUAGCCAUGGGCAGGUUGAAGGUUGGGUAACACUAACUGGAGGACCGAACCGACUAAUGUUGAAAAAUUAGCGGAUGACCUGUGGCUGGGGGUGAAAGGCCAAUCAAACCGGGAGAUAGCUGGUUCUCCCCGAAAGCUAUUUAGGUAGCGCCUCGUGAAUUCAUCUCCGGGGGUAGAGCACUGUUUCGGCUAGGGGGCCAUCCCGGCUUACCAACCCGAUGCAAACUGCGAAUACCGGAGAAUGUUAUCACGGGAGACACACGGCGGGUGCUAACGUCCGUCGUGAAGAGGGAAACAACCCAGACCGCCAGCUAAGGUCCCAAAGUCAUGGUUAAGUGGGAAACGAUGUGGGAAGGCCCAGACAGCCAGGAUGUUGGCUUAGAAGCAGCCAUCAUUUAAAGAAAGCGUAAUAGCUCACUGGUCGAGUCGGCCUGCGCGGAAGAUGUAACGGGGCUAAACCAUGCACCGAAGCUGCGGCAGCGAACGUAUCACUUAAAGCGAUUCAGCGGGUUACGAUUGACGGAGCGAAGCGACGUCAAAGCGUAUACAAAGUCGAGUCGGUUUAAGGAUACGUUCGUUGGGUAGGGGAGCGUUCUGUAAGCCUGUGAAGGUGGCCUGUGAGGGUUGCUGGAGGUAUCAGAAGUGCGAAUGCUGACAUAAGUAACGAUAAAGCGGGUGAAAAGCCCGCUCGCCGGAAGACCAAGGGUUCCUGUCCAACGUUAAUCGGGGCAGGGUGAGUCGACCCCUAAGGCGAGGCCGAAAGGCGUAGUCGAUGGGAAACGGGUUAAUAUUCCCGUACUUGGUGUUACUGCGAAGGGGGGACGGAGAAGGCUAUGUUGGCCGGGCGACGGUUGUCCCGGUUUAAGCGUGUAGGUGUGUGUUCCAGGUAAAUCCGGUUCACUUUAACACUGAGGCGUGAUGACGAGGCACUACGGUGCUGAAGCAACAAAUGCCCUGCUUCCAGGAAAAGCCUCUAAGCAUCAGGUAACAUCAAAUCGUACCCCAAACCGACACAGGUGGUCAGGUAGAGAAUACCAAGGCGCUUGAGAGAACUCGGGUGAAGGAACUAGGCAAAAUGGUGCCGUAACUUCGGGAGAAGGCACGCUGACACGUAGGUGAAGUGAUUUACUCACGGAGCUGAAGUCAGUCGAAGAUACCAGCUGGCUGCAACUGUUUAUUAAAAACACAGCACUGUGCAAACACGAAAGUGGACGUAUACGGUGUGACGCCUGCCCGGUGCCGGAAGGUUAAUUGAUGGGGUCAGCGCAAGCGAAGCUCCUGAUCGAAGCCCCGGUAAACGGCGGCCGUAACUAUAACGGUCCUAAGGUAGCGAAAUUCCUUGUCGGGUAAGUUCCGACCUGCACGAAUGGCGUAAUGAUGGCCAGGCUGUCUCCACCCGAGACUCAGUGAAAUUGAACUCGCUGUGAAGAUGCAGUGUACCCGCGGCAAGACGGAAAGACCCCGUGAACCUUUACUAUAGCUUGACACUGAACAUUGAGCCUUGAUGUGUAGGAUAGGUGGGAGGCUUUGAAGCGUGGACGCCAGUCUGCGUGGAGCCGACCUUGAAAUACCACCCUUUAAUGUUUGAUGUUCUAACGUGGACCCGUAAUCCGGGUUGCGGACAGUGUCUGGUGGGUAGUUUGACUGGGGCGGUCUCCUCCUAAAGAGUAACGGAGGAGCACGAAGGUUGGCUAAUCCUGGUCGGACAUCAGGAGGUUAGUGCAAUGGCAUAAGCCAGCUUGACUGCGAGCGUGACGGCGCGAGCAGGUGCGAAAGCAGGUCAUAGUGAUCCGGUGGUUCUGAAUGGAAGGGCCAUCGCUCAACGGAUAAAAGGUACUCCGGGGAUAACAGGCUGAUACCGCCCAAGAGUUCAUAUCGACGGCGGUGUUUGGCACCUCGAUGUCGGCUCAUCACAUCCUGGGGCUGAAGUAGGUCCCAAGGGUAUGGCUGUUCGCCAUUUAAAGUGGUACGCGAGCUGGGUUUAGAACGUCGUGAGACAGUUCGGUCCCUAUCUGCCGUGGGCGCUGGAGAACUGAGGGGGGCUGCUCCUAGUACGAGAGGACCGGAGUGGACGCAUCACUGGUGUUCGGGUUGUCAUGCCAAUGGCACUGCCCGGUAGCUAAAUGCGGAAGAGAUAAGUGCUGAAAGCAUCUAAGCACGAAACUUGCCCCGA
rnacentral:rRNA from 1 species